rnacentral:rRNA from 1 species
UGGUGGAGUGAUUUGUCUGGUUAAUUCCGUUAACGAACGAGACCUUAGCCUACUAACUAGUCAACUCAAUCUCGAUUGAGCAUGACUUCUUAGAGGGACUUUGUGGUCUAAACACAAGGAAGUUUGAGGCAAUAACA